AGAGUUUGAUCAUGGCUCAGGACGAACGUUGGCGGCGUGCUUAACACAUGCAAGUCGAACGGUGAACCUCCUUCGGGAGGGGAUCAGUGGCGAACGGGUGAGUAACACGUGAGCAACCUGCCCCUAGUUCUGGGAUAACUCCGGGAAACCGGUGCUAAUACCGGAUACGAGACCAAGCGGCAUCACAAGGUCUUGAAAGUUUUUCGACUAGGGAUGGGCUCGCGGCCUAUCAGCUUGUUGGUGAGGUAACGGCCCACCAAGGCGACGACGGGUAGCCGGCCUGAGAGGGCGACCGGCCACACUGGGACUGAGACACGGCCCAGACUCCUACGGGAGGCAGCAGUGGGGAAUAUUGCGCAAUGGGCGAAAGCCUGACGCAGCGACGCCGCGUGAGGGAUGAAGGCCUUCGGGUUGUAAACCUCUUUCAGCAGGGAAGAAGCGAAAGUGACGGUACCUGCAGAAGAAGCACCGGCUAACUACGUGCCAGCAGCCGCGGUAAUACGUAGGGUGCAAGCGUUGUCCGGAAUUAUUGGGCGUAAAGAGCUCGUAGGCGGUCUGUCGCGUCGGAUGUGAAAACCCAGGGCUCAACCCUGGGCCUGCAUUCGAUACGGGCAGACUAGAGUUCGGUAGGGGAGACUGGAAUUCCUGGUGUAGCGGUGAAAUGCGCAGAUAUCAGGAGGAACACUGGUGGCGAAGGCGGGUCUCUGGGCCGAAACUGACGCUGAGGAGCGAAAGCGUGGGGAGCAAACAGGAUUAGAUACCCUAGUAGUCC
rnacentral:rRNA from 1 species